rnacentral:lncRNA from 1 species
UCGUAAGUAUACUUCCAUUCUUUAACGAAUGAAAAAACAUUAUCUGAAAGCUGUCUUCCUGGAACAAAAAUGCACAUAUUUUCCAUCUUUAACACACAACCAAUGAAUAGACAGUAACCAGGAUUAAAUAUCAGCAAGAGAGGCUCUUUAGUUAUAUAGUCAUUCAAUUUUUCAAAUAAGCGAGAAACUUAUUAUUAAUAUCUUUUCCUACUUUGCAGUUACCUAUGUUUAUGAAUGAGGUAUUAAGGUUGUACCCGCCACUGGUUGAGCUAUCUAGAUUUCUUGAAGAAGAGAUCAAAUUAGGAGAAUACACAUUACCAGCUGAUAUACAAGUCAUUAUGCCCACAAUUUUAGUUCAUCGUGAUCCUGAAUUCUGGGGUGAAGAUGCAAACGAGUUUAAGCCAGAAAGAUUCGCCGAAGGAGUGCUAAAAGCAACCAAUGGGCAAGCUGUAUUUUUCCCCUUUGCCUGGGGACCCCGUAUCUGCAUUGGUUAUAACAUGGCAUUGUUGCAAGUUAAAUUAGUAUUGGCAGACCUUUUGCGCAAUUUCUCGUUUGAGAUUUCACCUACUUAUGAACACGCUCCACGUGUGGUUUUCACCCAACAACCUCAAUAUGGAGCUCCCAUCAUUCUGCGUAACCUCAACUGAAGUCUCCAAUAAUUAAAUCUACUUAUCGUAUGUUGUUAUGCAUUCUCUCUGUCGUCAUUCAAUAAACAUUGAGUUGUGUUCUGUUUCGUUAACUUCUAUAUUAAUUCCUCCUGCAAUGGAAUGUUUUCUACUUUGUUUUGGUACUAGUGGAGCUCCGUGUUGUAAUAAAUUAGAAUUGUAAUAAUAUCAUUUGAUCUGGUUUAGUACGAUAGCUAUAUUCAUAAAACAAUUAUAUACUGAAACCAUAAGUUGGAUUCAAUAGCUAUUAUUUAUGUUGUAUGGAAGUUUCGAGAAAUCUUGAAUCCGACCUCGUAAAAAUCAUCAACCCAACACCACCUAGCAUCGGCUCAACCCACACCCUUCCUUCACUUUGAUUGCCUCAAGUUUUCUCGCUCACAAAAGAUAACAGUGGUGGUGACUACAAUACAAACGAAAGGAUGAAGCAACACUGAUUGAAUCUCUCAAGAAAUCACCCCAAAACCGGUUGCCCCCUUCACUCCUCUCUCAAUAGCACGCACACGACCCCACCACCUCUAGAAGAAAUGGUCACAUAUAAAGGACUCACCAACUUGGGCCAAAUUUCAUUAAACGUGCUAUCACUUACAUACCAAUAAAUGGGCUUUCAUAUCACCAUCCAACUAAACCAAUAAAUCCAACUACAAUUCGGGCCAUCCAAAAGUGUAGGUCAUUUCUGGGUUGAGCCUAAUCUAUAGUGUCAAUAAAUUAUUCGACAUUUGUUUUAAAUUAUAGCUCAGAUUUAUUAGGUUAUCAAAACCUAACAAAUCUUAACAUUGAUACCUAAUUCACCUGUAAGUAAACAAAAUACAAAGUUUAUGCAUGCAUAAUCAAGGUAACAAAAUAAAUUGUUAUCACUGACCAUACCUCAUGUCCCGGACCCUAAGCCUACAACAUACUUGUUCCAUAUACUCACCAUGACUAAGAUCAAAAAACACCCAAGUAGAAGUAAGUAAUCAAUCAAGAGUAUAUAAACAUGCGAUGAAUAUAAAACAUAGAAUAACACAGACUUUUCAAAACAUGUUCACAAAGAACCUCGGAUUAAUACCACGUUAAUUAAUCAAAUGGCCACACUUACGCAACAAAUGCAUAAAUGGCAUAAAAAAAAAAGAUCUUACCACACUUAUCCUAUCUUAUUCCGUGUAGGUUGAAUAUCGAGAAUGCAUAUCUCCUCUUAUUGCUCCACCGUGCUCACUAGAUUGGUCACUAACGCAUGUCUAACUAGUAAACCACUAUAGAUCCCAAGUCUAUGAGAUAGUUCUCUAUCUCUACCUCCUUUCUCUCAACUCAAGUAGAUAUUGGAUCUCCACCUAAUAGAAGUGACAUAAGUGUCUCUCUCACACUCUAUCUGAUCAAGAUCUUCAUAGAGAAGAUUCCAACAUUUAAUCACUCUCUACUUGUGAUCCAAAUGUCCUACUUCACAUCCCUCAGUAUAUAGCACCAAUGCACACUCGGCAUCAAUAAUCUACAUUAGCAGGAGACAUACUCAUUGCUAAUGCAUCUCAAACUCACUAUGGCAAAUCGACACCUUUGAAUGAGGUAUUAAGGUUGUACCCGCCACUGGUUGAGCUAUCUAGAUUUCUUGAAGAAGAGAUCAAAUUAGGAGAAUACACAUUACCAGCUGAUAUACAAGUCAUUAUGCCCACAAUUUUAGUUCAUCGUGAUCCUGAAUUCUGGGGUGAAGAUGCAAACGAGUUUAAGCCAGAAAGAUUCGCCGAAGGAGUGCUAAAAGCAACCAAUGGGCAAGCUGUCUUUUUCCCCUUUGCCUGGGGACCCCGUAUCUGCAUUGGUUAUAACAUGGCAUUGUUGCAAGUUAAAUUAGUAUUGGCAGACCUUUUGCGCAAUUUCUCGUUUGAGAUUUCACCUACUUAUGAACACGCUCCACGUGUGGUUUUCACCCAACAACCUCAAUAUGGAGCUCCCAUCAUUCUGCGUAACCUCAACUGAAGUCUCCAAUAAUUAAAUCUACUUAUCGUAUGUUGUUAUGCAUUCUCUCUGUCGUCAUUCAAUAAACAUUGAGUUGUGUUCUGUUUCGUUAACUUCUAUAUUAAUUCCUCCUGUAAUGGAAUGUUUUCUACUUUGUUUUGGUACUAGUGGAGCUCCGUG